rnacentral:tRNA from 2 species
UCCGGCGUCGCCCAAUGGCAGGGCAGCGCACUGUUAAUGCGUACAGGUGAAGGUUCGAGUCCUUCCGCCGGAGC